GACGAACGCUGGCGGCGUGCUUAACACAUGCAAGUCGAACGGAAAGGCCCUGCUUUUGUGGGGUGCUCGAGUGGCGAACGGGUGAGUAACGCGAGAGUAACCUACCCUUGCCUUUGGGUUAGCUUAACGGCACUGAGGCUUGUCCCGGAUAGGAGCUCCUGCUGCUUGGUCGGGGUUGGUCUGUUUCUGCGGUUGGGGAUGGACUCGCGGCUUGUCAGCUUGUUGGUGGGGUUGGGGGUUACCAAGGCUUUGACGGGUGGCCGGCCUGAGUGGGUGACCGGCCACAUUGGGACUAAGAUACGGCGCAGACUCCGAGGGGAGUGAGCAGUGGGGGAUAGUGCACUAUGGGCGGGAGGCGGAAGCAAUGACGCCGCUUGCGGUAUGACGGCCUUCGGGUUGUAAACCGCGUUUGCCUGUGAUGAAGCGUGAGUGACGGUAAUUGGUAAAGAAGCACCGGCUAACUACGUG
rnacentral:rRNA from 1 species